AGUUAAUAUUCCUUCGGAAUAGAGCAACAAAGAAUGAGCGAGCGAGAUGUCACUAUCUGCAACCCUGUGUGAUAAAAAGAGAUGUGUGAUGCUAUCAUCGUCACGUCAAUAGAACCAUUUUUGCAAAAGAUUUGACAGGCAGUGACACAUAGAGGCACAAAGCAGAAUUUCAAAUCACAGUUUUUUCUAAAAAUUUCGUAAAAUCCUGUAUAGUUUUGGAAUUUUUUUAUUGUAAUACAAUGGUGAACUGUUCCGUCCUUGAUUGUGACGUAAACCAGAGAAAUAAUCCCGCAAAAUAUUCAUUUCACAGAUUUCCGACUAACGAAGAUGUAAGAAAAACAUGGCUCAAAUUAAUUAAUCGUCCAAAUUGGAUUCAGAAAGUUUGUAUGGAUGUCUUGAUGUUUGUUGCUCUUUCAAUUAAAUCAGUUAAAUCAUUUUAA